rnacentral:rRNA from 1 species
GCGGGCUGGAACCUGCGGAGGGAUCAUUACACAAAUAUGAAGGCGGGCUGGAACCUCUCGGGGUUACAGCCUUGCUGAAUUAUUCACCCUUGUCUUUUGCGUACUUCUUGUUUCCUUGGUGGGUUCGCCCACCACUAGGACAAACAUAAACCUUUUGUAAUUGCAAUCAGCGUCAGUAACAAAUUAAUAAUUACAACUUUCAACAACGGAUCUCUUGGUUCUGGCAUCGAUGAAGAACGCUGUGAAUUGCAGAAUUCAGUGUGAAUUGCAGAAUUCAGUGAAUCAUCGAAUCUUUGAACGCACAUUGCGCCCUUUGGUAUUCCAAAGGGCAUGCCUGUUCGAGCGUCAUUUGUACCCUCAAGCUUUGCUUGGUGUUGGGCGUCUUGUCUCUAGCUUUGCUGGAGACUCGCCUUAAAGUAAUUGGCAGCCGGCCUACUGGUUUCGGAGCGCAGCACAAGUCGCACUCUCUAUCAGCAAAGGUCUAGCAUCCAUUAAGCCUUUUUUUCAACUUUUGACCUCGGAUCAGGUAGGGAUACCCGC